UUUGUUAAGGUAGUUAUAGACAGUACAGCAACAACAAUAAUAAUAAUAAUAAUAAUAAUAACAACAAUAAUAAUAAUAAUAAUAAGUCACUGUUUGUUAAGGUAGUUAUAGACAGUACAGCAACAAUAAUAAUAAUAAUAAUAAUAAUAAUAAUAAUAAGUCACUGUUUGUUAAGGUAGUUAUAGACAGUACAGCAACAAUAAUAAUAAUAAUAAUAAUAAUAAUAAUAAUAAGUCACUGUUUGUUAAGGUAGUUAUAGACAGUACAGCAACAAUAAUAAUAAUAAUAAUAAUAAUAAUAAUAAUAAUAAUAAUAAGUCACUGUUUGUUAAGGUAGUUCUAGACAGUACAGCAACAAUAAUAAUAAUAAUAAUAAUAAUAAUAAUAAUAAGUCACUGUUUGUUAAGGUAGUUCU